UACGUAGGGCGCAAGCGUUAUCCGGAAUUAUUGGGCGUAAAGAGCUCGUAGGCGGUUUGUCGCGUCUGCUGUGAAAACUCGGGGCUUAACCCCGGGCCUGCAGUGGGUACGGGCAGACUAGAGUGCGGUAGGGGAGACUGGAAUUCCUGGUGUAGCGGUGAAAUGCGCAGAUAUCAGGAGGAACACCGGUGGCGAAGGCGGGUCUCUGGGCAACAACUGACGCUGAGGAGCGAAAGCGUGGGGAGCGAACAGG
rnacentral:rRNA from 1 species